GCCGAGAUAGCUCAGCGGUAGAGCACCUGUUUUGUAAACAGGGGGUCAAGGGUUCAAAUCCCUUUCUCGGCU
rnacentral:tRNA from 1 species